GCUUCCGGCCGCUGGUCGCAGGGCUGCGGGACUACAAUCUUCGCUUGAAAUGGGAGAGAGGGUGGUGCGGAUACCUUGAGGAAGAUCAUCAAGCCUCCUCCCGCCCAGGGGGCCUCCUGCUUUCCUAAGCUGCUGUGGAACCGGCCUGAGGUCCCAGACGCUGUCCAUUGUGCUGCUGCGCUCUGCUUUCUCCAGCCACAGUGCCAGUUCAUCCGCUUUUGGGAGAACUCCGCCGCCUGGCCUGCCCGCGGACAAGGUCACAGCUUUGCAGGGGGGUGACAUGGGAUAUGGCUUCUUGGAAAUGUCACCCUCACCAGCGCCUUUUAGAUGGAUGUGAAUUUUGAGACAUGAGGGAGGGUAAUUAUUGGUUUACCCAGGAGAUGCUAAGAGCAGAGGAGAAAACCCUAAUUUCCAGGCAUGUGUCCUGAGCCAGGGACAGGCUGGCCAGACCCUAAGCCCCCAGUGCCGCCAGAGAGCAGCCUGCUGUCCUGAUUUAUGUGGAAUCCCCUUCGUUCUGCUGGGCCUUAGCGUCAGGGACAG
rnacentral:lncRNA from 1 species